rnacentral:rRNA from 1 species
UGAGGAAUAUUGGGCAAUGGCCGUAAGGCUGAACCAGCCAAGUAGCGUGCAGGAUGACGGCCCUAUGGGUUGUAAACUUCUUUUAUACGGGAAAAAACCACCGGUCGUGUAUCGGUGCUGAUGGUACCGUAAGAAUAAGCAUCGGCUAACUCCGUGCCAGCAGCCGCGGUAAUACGGAGGAUGCAAGCGUUAUCCGGAUUCAUUGGGUUUAAAGGGUGCGCAGGCGGAUUAAUAAGUCAGUGGUGAAAUCCUACGGCUCAACUGUAGAACUGCCAUUGAUACUGUUAGUCUUGAGUAUUGUUGAGGUAGGCGGAAUGUGUCAUGUAGCGGUGAAAUGCUUAGAUAUGACACAGAACACCAAUCGCGAAGGCAGCUUACCAAGCAAUAACUGACGCUCAUGCACGAAAGCGUGGGGAUCAAACA